rnacentral:antisense_RNA from 1 species
CUUCACCGACCCCAGCCACAGCGGGGCGUCGGCGGCCCGGUCCGCGCCGUAGGUGGCGAGCAAUGCCUGCGCCUC